rnacentral:misc_RNA from 1 species
GGAAGGAUCAUUAUUGGAUAAAUAUAAUAGGCUGUUGCUGGCCCUUCUGUCAAGGAGGGGAUGUGCACGCUUGUUGUCUUUACUUUUCUCCCCUUGUGCAUUCUUUGUAGAAUCCAGAGGAGUGUUUGCCCAAGUCAAUUGGACAGUUUGAGAGGAUUGCUGUGUAUAGAAGCCAGCUUUACCUUGUAUCUCUAGGUUCUAUAUCUUUCACAUAGUCCUAUGAAUAUGACAGAAUGUUGAUUUGGGUAUUAUUUGUACCUGUAAAGUUAAUAUACAACUUUCAGCAACGGAUCUCUUGGCUCUCACAUCGAUGAAGAACGCAGCGAAAUGCGAUAAGUAAUGUGAAUUGCAGAAUUCAGUGAAUCAUCGAAUCUUUGAACGCAUCUUGCGCUCUUUGGUAUUCCAAAGAGCAUGCCUGUUUGAGUGUCAUUAAAUUCUCAACUGUACCAAUCUUGUUGGUGUAGCUUGGAUUUGGGGGACCAUUUGCAGGCCUUUCAAUUGAACAAAGCCAGCUCCUCUGAAAUUGAUUAGUGGUACCUUUGUGGAACCAAAGGCAUGAUAAAUAUCUAUGCCUUAGAUGUCCACAGCAAUAGGUUAUGCUGCUUCUAAUUAACUGAUUAAUGACAAAAUUGACCUCAAAUCAGGUAGGACUACCUGCUGAACUUAAGCAUAUCAAUAAGCGGAGGAAAAGAAACUAACAAGGAUUCCCUUAGUAACUGCGAGUGAAGUGGGAAAAGCUCAAAUUUUAAAUCUGGCAGUUAUUAGCUGUCCGAGUUGUAAUCUAGAGAAGUGUAACCCAUGCUGGACCAUGUACAAGUCUCCUGGAAUGGAGCAUCAUAGAGGGUGAGAAUCCCGUCUUUGACAUGGACUACCAGUAUUUUGUGGUAUGCUCUCAAAGAGUCGAGUUGUUUGGGAAUGCAGCUCAAAAUGGGUGGUAAAUGCCAUCUAAAGCUAAAUAUUGGUGAGAGACCGAUAGUGAACAAGUACCGUGAGGGAAAGAUGAAAAGAACUUUGGAAAGAGAGUUAAACAGUACGUGAAAUUGCUGAAAGGGAAACGCUUGAAGUCAGUCAUAUUGAUUUGGAAUCAACCCUGCUUUUGCUGGGUGUAUUUUCUUGUCAAUAGGUCAGCAUCAAUUUUGAUUAUUGGAUAAAGUUAUUGGGAAUGUGGCAUCCUUGGAUGUGUUAUAGCUCAGUAAUGCAUACAAUAAUUGGGAUUGAGGAACUCAGCAUGCCACAAAGGCCAGGUCUUUGACCAUGUUCAUGCUUAGGAUGCUGGCAUAAUGGCUUUAAUCGACCCGUCUUGAAACACGGACCAAGGAGUCUAACAUACCUGCAAGUGUUUGGGUGGAAAACCCAUGCGCGUAAUGAAAGUGAAAGUUGAGAUCCCAUUGGGAGCAUCGACGCCCAGACCAGACCUUUUGUGACGGAUCUGCGGUAGAGCAUGUAUGUUGGGACCCGAAAGAUGGUGAACUAUGCCUGAAUAGGGUGAAGCCAGAGGAAACUCUGGUGGAGGCUCGUAGCGAUUCUGACGUGCAAAUCGAUCGUCAAAUUUGGGUAUAGGGGCGAAAGACUAAUCGAACCAUCUAGUAGCUGGUUCCUGC